rnacentral:rRNA from 1 species
CCUACGGGAGGCAGCAGUGGGGAAUAUUGGGCAAUGGGCGCAAGCCUGACCCAGCGACGCCGCGUGAGGGAAGAAGGCUUUCGGGUUGUAAACUUCUUUUAAGAGGGAAGAGCGGAAUACGGUACCUCUUGAAUAAACCACGGCUAACGACGGGCCAACAGCCGCGGUAAUACGUAGGUGGCAAGCGUUUUCCGGAUUUACUGGGGUUAAAGGGCGUGCAGCCGGGAAGACAAGUCAGAUGUGAAAUCCCGCGGCUCAACCGCGGAACUGCAUUUGAAACUGUUUUUCUUGAGUGCCGGAGAGGUAAUCGGAAUUCCGUGUGUAGCGGUGAAAUGCGUAGAUAUAAGGAAGAACACCAGUGGCGAAGGCGGAUGACUGGACGGCAACUGGCGGUGAGGCGCGAAAGCGUGGGGAGCAAACAGGAUUAGAUACCCGAGUAGUC